rnacentral:rRNA from 1 species
GACGAACGCUGGCGGCGUGCCUAAUACAUGCAAGUAGGACGCAGUUGCGAACUGGUGAGUAACGCGUAGGUAACUCCCUAUUAGAGGGGGAUAACUAUUGGAAACGAUAGCUAAUACCGCAUACUCGUAGAUGGACCUGCGUUGUAUUAGCUGGUAUGUAGGGUAAUGGCCUACCUAGGCAAAGAUACAUAGCCGACCUGGUGGGGGGAUCGGGCAAAAUGGGAAUGAGAAACGGCCCAGACUCCUACGGGAGCCGGCAGUAGGGAAUCUUGGGCAAUGGGGGGAACCCUGAACGAGCAACGCCGAGUGAGUGAAGAAGGUUGUCGGAUCGGAAAGCUCUGUUCGUAAGGAAGCGGUACUUAACCAGAAAGGGACGGCUAACUACGUGCCAGCAGCCGCGGUAAUUC